rnacentral:rRNA from 1 species
UGGGGAAUAUUGGACAAUGGGCGAAAGCCUGAUCCAGCCAUGCCGCGUGAGUGAUGAAGGCCCUAGGGUUGUAAAGCUCUUUUGUGCGGGAAGAUAAUGACGGUACCGCAAGAAUAAGCCCCGGCUAACUUCGUGCCAGCAGCCGCGGUAAUACGAAGGGGGCUAGCGUUGCUCGGAAUCACUGGGCGUAAAGGGUGCGUAGGCGGGUUUCUAAGUCAGAGGUGAAAGCCUGGAGCUCAACUCCAGAACUGCCUUUGAUACUGGAAGUCUUGAGUUCGGGAGAGGUGAGUGGAACUGCGAGUGUAGAGGUGAAAUUCGUAGAUAUUCGCAAAAACACCAGUCGCGAAGGCGGCUCACUGGCCCGAUACUGACGCUG